AUUGAACGCUGGCGACAGGCCUAACUCAUGCAAGUAGAGCGGUGCGGCGGACGGGCGAGUAAUACCUAGGAAUCUUCCUGGUAGACGGGGAUAACGAUCGGAAACGGACGCUAAUACCGCAUACUAUCAGAUGAACCUAGGUCGGAUUAACUAGUUGGUGAGGUAAUGGCCCACCAAGGCUACGAUCCGUAACUGGUCUGAGAGGAUGAUCAGUCACACUGGAACUGAGACACGGUCCAGACUCCUACGGGAGGCAGCAGGGGGGAAUAUUGGACAAUGGGCGAAAGCCUGAUCCAGCCAUGCCGCGUGUGUGAAGAAGGUCUUCGGAUUGUAAAGCACUUUAAGUUGGGAGGCGUUACCGACAGAAUAAGCACCGGCGAACUCUGUGCCAGCAGCCGCGGUAAUAC
rnacentral:rRNA from 1 species